GGUGCGGCCGGCGGGCGGCGAUGGCGGCCGUACGGGGCCUGCGAGUGUCGGUGAAGGCGGAGGUCCCGGCGGGGCCGGCCUUGGGGCCCCCGUCGCCUGAAGCUGAGUCAGGUUUGGACCGCGGCGAGCCGGAGCCCAUGGAGGUGGAGGAGGGCGAGCUGGAGGUCGUGCCGGUUCGGCGCUCGCUAAAGGAACUGAUCCCGGACACAAGCAGAAGAUAUGAAAACAAGGCUGGCAGCUUCAUCACUGGAAUCGAUGUCACCUCCAAGGAAGCAAUUGAAAAGAAAGAACAGCGAGCUAAGCGCUUCCAUUUUCGCUCAGAAGUAAAUCUUGCCCAAAGAAAUGUAGCCUUGGACCGAGACAUGAUGAAGAAAGCAAUCCCCAAAGUGAGGCUGGAGACAAUCUACCUUUGCGGCGUAGAUGAGAUGAGCACCCAGGAUGUCUUUUCCUAUUUUAAAGAAUAUCCUCCGGCCCACAUUGAGUGGUUGGAUGAUACCUCCUGUAAUGUGGUUUGGUUGGAUGAAAUGACAGCCACACGAGCCCUUAUCAAUAUGAGUUCCCUGCCAGCCCUGGAUAAGAUAAGAAGCAGGGAUGCCAAUGAGGACAAGUCUGAGAAAAGUAAAAAAGACAAGCAGGAAGACAGUUCCGAUGACGACGAGGCUGAAGAAGGCGAAGUUGAAGAUGAGAACGCAAGUGAUGUAGAGUUGGACACGUUGUCUCAGGUAGAAGAAGAAUCUCUGCUAAGAAAUGAUCUUCGUCCAGCGAACAAACUUGCUAAAGGAAAUAGGUUAUUCAUGAGAUUUGCUACAAAAGAUGACAAAAAGGAACUUGGAGCAGCGAGAAGAAGUCAGUAUUACAUGAAAUAUGGGAAUCCAAAUUACGGAGGCAUGAAAGGAAUUCUUAGUAAUUCUUGGAAGCGAAGAUACCAUUCCCGUCGCAUUCAGCGGGAUGUGAUCAAGAAGAGAGCCCUGAUUGGGGACGACGUUGGCUUGACAUCCUAUGAACACCGACAUUCCGGACUAGUGAAUGUUCCUGAGGAACCCAUCGAGGAGGAGGAAGAGGAGGAGGAGGAAGAGGAGGACCAGGACAUGGAUGCUGAUGACAGGGUGGUGGUGGAGUACCACGAGGAGCUCCCAGCCCUCAAGCAGACCCGGGAGCGGAGCACGUCUAGGCGGUCCAGUGCCAGCGGCUCAGACUCGGAUGAAAUGGACUAUGAUCUCGAACUGAAAAUGAUUUCCACCCCUUCGCCAAAGAAGAGCAUGAAAAUGACGAUGUAUGCGGACGAAGUGGAAUCUCAGCUGAAAAAUAUCAGGAACUCCAUGAAGGCAGAUACUCUAUCUACAAGCAAUAUAAAAAACCGAAUUGGUAACAAAUUAACACCCGAGAAAUUUGCAGAUGUCCGACAUUUGUUAGAUGAAAAACGUCAACACACACGUCCACGGCCACCUGGCAGCAGUACUAAAACAGAUAUACGCCAGCGAUUAGGAAAAAGACCACAUUCUCCGGAAAAGGCUUUUAGUGGUAACCCAGUCGUUCGGAGAGAGCCCUUUUCUGAUGUACAUAGUAGGCUAGGUGUUCCCAGGCAAGAUGUUAAAGGCCUCUACUCUGAUACUCGGGAGAAGAAAUCAGGUAGUUUAUGGAAUCGCUUAGGAUCUGCACCCAAGACCAAAGAAAAGAACACGAAGAAAGUGGAUCACAGGGCGCCCGGCACAGAGGAAGAUGACUCCGAGCUGCAGAGGGCAUGGGGGGCUCUGAUUAAGGAGAAAGAACAGUCUCGCCAAAAGAAGAGCCGCUGUUACCAGCACCCUUUUCCCAAGAAAAGUCAAUUCCCAGGUGCUUAUUGGACAGCCUUCGAGGGGGAAGAUGAGGGAAGCUGCCAGCUCACCCUUCCAGGAUCCUAGUGUGGGGGCCGAAUCUCAUGGACCUGACCUCAGAGGUGCACCCGUGCCGCCCAGGCCAGUCCAGAGUAAAUGGUGCCUAAAAAGUGUUUGGCAAAUGAAUGAAUUGUGGGAACCCAACCCAGCUCUGGCACCUUUGUCUGCAGGCUAGUCUGCUUCUAGCGGAGACUACCACAUUCAAAAAAGAGGAAGGUUGUUCACAAGUGCAUAAAUCGUGCUUGCAUAAGAAAGAAUCUCAUUAAGUAGACCUCCGUGAAGUUCAAAUUUUGAUGAUCUGGCUAUAUCUGAGCUGAAGCUUACCUGGCUUUGUAAAGAAUUUGCUAGAGAGUCAUGUAGAUAAUCCAGAAUAUUUUUUAGAAAGCAUUCAUCUGCACCCAGGAGACCAAGAAAGGAAGCCGGCGGGUGGAUCAGAGGCCCCAAAGAGAGACUGCUGGGCCGAUUCUUAGCAUCUGAUCCAAUUGGUGAGGAAGUGACAGCAGCCCAAAGAAGACACAAAGAAACAACUCGUUCCUGGCAACAACUCUUUUGCCUAAAGUAGGCUUCCCACUGUCGCGCGGAGCAGUUUUAAAGUUACGGUGAAAUGCUAACAGGCAAUUUGGAUUAAAGUUAACAGCAAAUGACGGCUUCACAGGUUAAUUAAUUGCUGCACAAAUAAGUUGAUGUACAAGUAUUUGCUUUUAAAUCUUACACAAUAAGAAGUAAAUUAGAAGUCAAACCAUUUUUUCCUUUGAAGAACUAAAAGGACAGAAUGUCUUUGAUGAACUUGAGAACAGCAUACUGGCUUCAAGGCAGACUGUUGUUGUGUAGUCUGACCAAUAAUAAUGUAGAACUUUUCUUACAUGUUUAUAAAAUAAAUCUUAGAAGAAAAAUAAUACUGUAGCCUUUUUUAAAACAAUGAAAUUCUAUGAACGUUUCACAGAACUUGGAUGUUCCUGGGAGCGGUCAGGGAAAUGCUGGCUCAGAAGCUUAUUUCAAAUAGUGGUGAGGCAUUGCAGUGGGCUUUUGCUCUGCUAUAAAUACAACUCUAGGGUAUGGGUGGUCUUUAACCCACCAAAGUCAGCACCCGGCACCCGGGGUUCUUACCUGGUUUUGUUGGAGCAAUUCCAGAGGCCCCCUCUGGAUGACAGAGUCUUCAGUAGUUGAGAUUUUGUGUUACCUCAGACUGUGUCACCCCUGCCUCGGGACCGGUGUUGGUUAGAGCAAGGGACCACACCAUCGACAGGAGAGGUGAUGAGGCCUUCCCGUCCCUCCCUGGGGCUGUCAUGUGUUUAAUGCGUCACCUCUUAGUGGCAAGAGUUCGUCAGAGGGCCCGUGAGCAGGAGACGGCACUGUUUUGCUCAGGUAGAAUGUCUUUUGGGGGGGGGUCAAAUGGGGUGACGGCUGGGGCUGGGCCCGCAGCCUUGGGGACUCGUUCUAUCUCAUCUGCUGACUUGAAAAAAAAACCCAAACGAGUCCCUUCGCUUCUUGGGACCUCAGUGUCCCUGCCUGUCAGAUGAAGGGCUCAAGUGGGAUGACCUCCAGGUUUCCUUCUAGUGCUAAUGUCAGUUCUAGGAUCUUUGCUGAGGUUUCCCAAGGAGCAUCAGGAGUGUAAGUUGGACGGGAAGGAGUUGGGGGCAAGCAAGAGGCCUAAGCCCUUGCACCCUUGGUUCCAUGAGCCGGUGCAACACCCCCGCCCCAGCCCUCCGUUACGAAAGGAGAAGGAGAUCCUCUCCCUUGCUCCCUUCCCCGCUUGGCCCCCCUCCCCCAGUGCGCACACACACCAUUCUGUUUUACCUGGGAGAUUCUUUAGGAGGUAGCCCAGUGUCUUAAUCAUCGGCUCAGGCAGCUAUAACAAAAUACCAUGGACUGGGUGGCUUAAAUAACAGAAACUUAUUUUCUCACGGCCUAAAAGUAGAAGUCCAGGAUCAGGGUGCUAGUAGUUGGGUUCGCACGAGGCCUCUCUUCCUGGCUUGCAGACAGCAUCUCACUGUGUGCUCACAUGGCCU